rnacentral:piRNA from 1 species
UGAGAGGAUGGGGUCUGUGAUGUAG